rnacentral:tRNA from 1 species
UGAACCAAAGCUUAUAUGCAAGCAUUUCACUUACACUGAAACGAAGUCUGCUCAGACCAGACUGGUUUAA